CUAUACUGCUCCUACAUGGUGUAACAUCAUGUAGAUGUAUAUAAUGAACAGACUAGGUCUAUACUGCUCCUACAUGGUGUAACAAUACAUCAUGUAGAUGUAUAUAAUGACCAGACUAGGUCUGUACUGCUCCUACAUGGUGUAACAUCAUGUAGAUGUAUAUAAUGAACAGACUAGGUCUAUACUGCUCCUACAUGGUGUAACAUCAUGUAGAUGUAUAUAAUGACCAGACUAGGUCUAUACUGCUCCUACAUGGUGUAACAUCAUAUAGAUGUAUAUAAUGACCAGACUAGGUCUAUACUGCUCCUACAUGGUGUAACAAUACAUCAUGUAGAUGUAUAUAAUGAACAGACUAG
ensembl:lncRNA